rnacentral:rRNA from 1 species
UGCGUAGGCGGGUCUUUAAGUCAGGGGUGAAAUCCUGGAGCUCAACUCCAGAACUGCCUUUGAUACUGAGGAUCUUGAGUUCGGGAGAGGUGAGUGGAACUGCGAGUGUAGAGGUGAAAUUCGUAGAUAUUCGCAAGAACACCAGUGGCGAAGGCGGCUCACUGGCCCGAUACUGACGCUGAGGCACGAAAGCGUGGGGAGCAAACAGGAUUAGAUACCCUGGUAGUCCACGCCGUAAACGACGAAUGCCAGCCGUUAGUGGGUUUACUCACUAGUGGCGCAGCUAACGCUUUAAGCAUUCCGCCUGGGGAGUACGGUCGCAAGAUUAAA